GCCUCGAGAGAGAACCAUGAAUUUUCUGAUUAGGGCUCAAAUUCAAUUCUUUCGCUUUCGUCUUCCUCUGCCAUCGAAAUUCCCCCACAGAAUCCAGAGAUGCCGAUCGAAAUGCCCCAAGGCCUGCCAUUCUCGGUGGAUACAUGGACUCCAUCUUCCAAGCAGAAGCACCACCAUUUUCUAACGCACGCUCACAGGGAUCACACCGCCGGGAUUGUCCCCCAUUCUUCCUUCCCAAUUUAUUCUACUUCUCUCACCAAAAUCAUCGUUCUUCAGCACUUCCCUCAGAUUGAGGAUUCGUUGUUUGUCUGUAUCGAGAUCGGGCAAUCGCUGGUAGUCAAAGAUCCUGAUGGUGCUUUCACUGUCACAGUUUUCGACGCUCAUCACUGUCCUGGAGCUGUCAUGUUCUUAUUUGAAGGCAAUUUUGGCAAUAUUCUGCAUACGGGCGAUUGCAGACUAACUCCUGAGUGUCUACAGAGCUUACCGGAGAAGUAUCGUGGAAAAAGUGGUAAAGAGCCUAGAUGUCAACUGGAUUUGAUUUUUCUAGACUGCACAUUUGGUAGAUUCUUUCAACAAUUCCCCAGCAGGCAUUCAUCAAUACAUCAGAUUAUUAAUUGCAUAUGGAAACAUCCUGAUGCUCCGUUAGUGUAUCUGAUUUGCAAUCUUCUAGGACAGGAAGAUAUAUUGCAACAAGUGUCCCAAACAUUUGGUUCAAAGAUUUUUGUUGAUGAAUCCAUGAAAGCAGGUUACAAGGCUCUUGAACUUAUAGAUCCUGAGAUCCUCACUCAAGAUCCAUCCUCCCGUUUUCAUUUGCUUGGUGGAUUCCCUAAACUAUGUCAAAGAGCAAAACCACUGCUUCGGGAUGCCCAGACCAAUUUUCAGCAUGAACCUCUCAUAAUCCGCCCUUCGACCCAGUGGUAUGUUCAUGAGGAACUGUCAGAGGUUUUCACCACAAGGAAACAGAUAAUUAGUGAAGCAAUCAAAGAUCAGCAUGGUAUUUGGCAUGUCUGUUACUCGAUGCACUCGUCGAAGGAAGAACUUGAAUGGGCCUUGCAAAUUUUAGGCCCUAAGUGGGUUUUUUCGACCACUCCUGGUUGUCGUGCCAUGGAUUUGGAUUACGUGAAGAAGAAACUCAGUUGCUCUAGUUUAACUUCCAAUGGCCUAAUCUGGAAGCUUUUUGGUAUAGCUGAGGAAAGUUCUUCAGAUUUAGAUGUUUCAACGAUGGAAGUGGGCUGUUCCCCUAUGGUUGAAGCACCCGCUCAAAUCAACAUAGAUCCUCAACUGCAGCCCGUGAAACUGUAUGCUUUCCCUAAAGAAAUGCUGAAUGUUUUGUCUUCAAGCAACUUGCCACCUCUUACAUUAUUUGGACGAGCUAGACUUGGCGCAAAAGAGGCUGAUUUGUUGCUGGAAGAAGUUCCAUAUCCGUCUACAGGGAAUGAUGAGCCUGUAGAAGCAGUUGGAGGUAAGGUAAUAGACUUGUCAAUUCAUGAUGCAAAUAAUGGUCAAUUGAGCGACGAAUCAUCAGAAAAUUCUGAAAACGAAGUUAAUUCUGAAGAGAAGCACAAGAAGUUUGCAAAUGAUGGGUUAUUAGUUGACAAUAACGCCUCUAUUAGCUCUGAACGGGUUAGGCUCCAUGUUUCUGAAGUAAAAGUCACGUCCAUGAAUGACACUCAUCCACCAAAACCAGUAGGCAGUAACGUAGAAGAACUUUAUAUCCAUGUGCAAAAAGGUAGAGUGAAGGGAAAUGAGUCGUUAGUUGAUUGUGAAGAUGUUGGUAGUAUUCCCGAAACACAUGCUGGGAAGUUAAUAGAUGACAGGAUAACAGUCUGUUGUAAUUCACAUCUUUUAAGUGUUGGAUCUUCAAAGGGUUUCAAUGACAAGUUUAGAAAGUUGUACAGGUCGAUGAACGUUCCUGUGCCCAAGCCUCUUCCUUCAUUAGUAGAACUCAUGAAAUCGAGAAAACGCGCAAAGAAGAAUGCAUACUUCUAGUCAGAACAGGCCAAGCAAGAAAGGAAAACAACGACCUUACUUGAACAGGAACUGUUCUACAACAGCAAGGAAAACAGCAUAUAUUACUCAUUGGAGGCUUGCCGAAGUGAUAAGCACUUGGUAGGCCGGGACGUCUGGCAGAAUGCUUGGAUUCCUGCGCUAGAAGCGAUGUCACAAGUAGGUUUUUUAGUCAUAGCUAGACAGCCAAUCUCGAUGUCCUUCUCCCCAGUGCAGACUCAGUAUCCUUGGUUGAAAAAAGGGAUUGAGAUUCCGCUCGCCUCAGUCCAACGUAGCCUUGACAAAGGAGAACAAGCCCCCUGUUGUUGAUA